rnacentral:rRNA from 1 species
GAUGAACGCUGGCGGCGUGCUUAACACAUGCAAGUCGAACGGAAAGGCCCAAGCUUGCUUGGGUACUCGAGUGGCGAACGGGUGAGUAACACGUGGGUGAUCUGCCCUGCACUUCGGGAUAAGCCUGGGAAACUGGGUCUAAUACCGGAUAGGACCACAUUUUGGAUGGUGUGGUGGAAAGUUUUUCGGUGUGGGAUGAGCUCGCGGCCUAUCAGCUUGUUGGUGGGGUAAUGGCCUACCAAGGCGUCGACGGGUAGCCGGCCUGAGAGGGUGUACGGCCACAUUGGGACUGAGAGACGGCCCAGACUCCUACGGGAGGCAGCGGUGGGGAAUAUUGCACAAUGGGCGCAAGCCUGAUGCAGCGACGCCGCGUGGGGGAUGACGGCCUUCGGGUUGUAAACUCCUUUCGCUAGGGACGAAGCGUUAUGUGACGGUACCUGGAGAAGAAGCACCGGCUAACUACGUG